GUAAUGGAUGUUAAGUGCACCAAAUGGACUCAUUUAGUAAUUUUAUGCGUGCACCUUUGCAAAAGAGUCAUGCAUUUGGGGUGAUCAGCUGCUAUAAAACAGUCCUCAGAACCCAUCUCUUGCGUGGAGGACGUUUGUCUGUGGUUUCUGGAAGAGGUCAAUGGAGCCAAAGGAUAUGAGGGCCACCCAAGUCCUAAUGUCUGUUCUCCUGUUAUUAAUUAUUCAGAGCUCCGCUUUGUCUUUCAAGGAUUGCUACAAUCAGUGCUACCAUGGCUGCAGGGAGUUAGGAAAGUCCAAGGCUUCUUGUAGGGUUGGUUGUUUUGUAGAAUGUCUGCCGCCCACCCCAUCUGAGAUUGAUCUCCAGUGCAGCCUUCCAUGUACCCUGUCCGCUUGCCGCCAUCUCGACCCCGAGGGGAAGGACAUGGAAGAUUGCAUGCAUACCUGCUUCAACACGUGCACCGAGCCAGCCAUGGCUCCUUCAGCAUAAAUUUGUCAAAGAAAAGGAAGAAAAAAAACCUGGAGUGUAAUAGACUGAAUAAGAAGGGAUGAAAUCAUUAAAUAAGCCUUGCCUAUGCGAGUGCAGCAUAUAAACAGAGGCCAGCAUCCAGGAAAAAAUACGGAUGAAUAGUAGUAAACAUUAGCUCCCUCGCGAUAAAGUGUAGACCAGAUUCAUGGAGAUUAAAUUUCAGGAUAUUAAUACUAGUUCUCUUUGUGA